rnacentral:rRNA from 1 species
AAGGAUGCCUUAGUAGCGGCGAGUGAAGCGGCAAAAGCUCAAAUUUGAAAUCUGGCACCUUCGGUGUCCGAGUUGUAAUUUGAAGAUUGUAACCUUGGGGUUGGCUCUUGUCUAUGUUUCUUGGAACAGGACGUCACAGAGGGUGAGAAUCCCGUGCGAUGAGAUGCCCAAUCCUAUGUAAGGUGCUUUCGAAGAGUCGAGUUGUUUGGGAAUGCAGCUCUAAGUGGGUGGUAAAUUCCAUCUAAAGCUAAAUAUUGGCGAGAGACCGAUAGCGAACAAGUACAGUGAUGGAAAGAUGAAAAGAACUUUGAAAAGAGAGUGAAAAAGUACGUGAAAUUGUUGAAAGGGAAGGGUUUGAGAUCAGACUCGAUAUUUUGUGAGCCUUGCCUUCGUGGCGGGGUGACCCGCAGCUUAUCGGGCCAGCAUCGGUUUGGGCGGUAGGAUAAUGGCGUAGGAAUGUGACUUUGCUUCGGUGAAGUGUUAUAGCCUGCGUUGAUGCUGCCUGCCUAGACCGAGGACUGCGAUUUUAUCAAGGAUGCUGGCAUAAUGAUCCCAAACCGCCCGUCUUGAA